GACGAACGCUGGCGGCGUGCUUAACACAUGCAAGUCGAACGGAAAGGCCCUGCUUUUGUGGGGUGCUCGAGUGGCGAACGGGUGAGUAACACGUGAGUAACCUGCCCUUGACUUUGGGAUAACUUCAGGAAACUGGGGCUAAUACCGGAUAGGAGAUCCUGCUGCAUGGUGGGGGUUGGAAAGUUUCGGCGGUUGGGGAUGGACUCGCGGCUUAUCAGCUUGUUGGUGGGGUAGGGGCUUACCAAGGCUUUGACGGGUAGCCGGCCUGAGCGGGUGACCGGCCACAUUGCGACUGAGAUACGGCCCAGACUCCUACGGGAGGCAGCAGUGGAGAAUAUGGCACAAUGGGCGGAAGCCUGAUGCAGCAACGCCGCGUGCGUGAUGACGGCCUUCGGGUUGUAAACCGCUUUCGCCGGUGACGAAGCGUGAUUGACGGUAAUGGGUAAAGAAGCACCGGCUAACUACGUG
rnacentral:rRNA from 1 species